rnacentral:misc_RNA from 1 species
ACGAGUUAGGGUCUUCUAGGCCCGAUCUCCCAACCCUUUGUUUAAUUGACCAUCGUUGCUUCGGCGAGCCCGUCUUUACGGACCGCCGGGGGGCCGUGAAACGUCCUCUGGUCCGCGCUCGUCGACAGCCAACCCCAAAUUCUUAACUAAACAUGUCUUUAUCUGAGUACUAUUUUAAAUAAAAGCA